UCGCUAGUAAUCGCAGAUCAGAAUGCUGCGGUGAAUACGUUCCCGGGUCUUGUACACACCGCCCGUCACACCAUGGGAGUCGGAAAUGCCCGAAGCCGGUGACCCAACCAAAAGGAGGGAGCCGUCGAAGGCAGGUCUGAUAACUGGGGUGAAGUCGUAACAAGGUAUC
rnacentral:rRNA from 1 species